AGAGUUUGAUCCUGGCUCAGAUUAAACGCUGGCGGCAUGCCUUACACAUGCAAGUCGAACGGCAGCGACGGGGGCAACCCUGGUGGCGAGUGGCGGACGGGUGAGUAAAGCAUCGGAACGUAUCCUGGAGUGGGGGAUAACGUAGCGAAAGUUACGCUAAUACCGCAUAUUCUGUGAGCAGGAAAGCAGGGGAUCGCAAGACCUUGCGCUCUGGGAGCGGCCGAUGUCGGAUUAGCUAGUUGGUGGGGUAAAGGCCUACCAAGGCGACGAUCCGUAGCGGGUCUGAGAGGAUGAUCCGCCACACUGGGACUGAGACACGGCCCAGACUCCUACGGGAGGCAGCAGUGGGGAAUUUUGGACAAUGGGCGCAAGCCUGAUCCAGCCAUGCCGCGUGAGUGAAGAAGGCCUUCGGGUUGUAAAGCUCUUUCGGUGGGGAAGAAAUUGCUUGGGUUAAUACCCUGAGUAGGUGACGGUACCCGCAUAAGAAGCACCGGCUAACUACGUG
rnacentral:rRNA from 1 species